rnacentral:rRNA from 1 species
GAUGAACGCUGGCGGCGUGCCUAAUACAUGCAAGUCGAGCGAACAGACGAGGAGCUUGCUCCUCUGACGUUAGCGGCGGACGGGUGAGUAACACGUGGAUAACCUACCUAUAAGACUGGGAUAACUUCGGGAAACCGGAGCUAAUACCGGAUAAUAUAUUGAACCGCAUGGUUCAAUAGUGAAAGACGGUUUUGCUGUCACUUAUAGAUGGAUCCGCGCCGCUUUAGCUAGUUGGUAAGGUAACGGCUUACCAAGGCAACGAUGCGUAGCCGACCUGAGAGGGUGAUCGGCCACCAUGGAACUGAGACACGGUCCAGACUCCUACGGGAGGCAGCAGUAGGGAAUCUUCCGCAAUGGGCGAAAGCCUGACGGAGCAACGCCGCGUGAAUGAUGAAGGUCUUCGGAUCGUAAAACUCUGUUAUUAGGGAAGAACAAAUGUGUAAGUAACUAUGCACGUCUUGACGGUACCUAAUCAGAAAGCCACGGCUAACUACGUG